GAUGAACGCUGGCGGCGUGCCUAAUACAUGCAAGUCGAGCGAACAGACGAGGAGCUUGCUCCUCUGACGUUAGCGGCGGACGGGUGAGUAACACGUGGAUAACCUACCUAUAAGACUGGUAUAACUUCGGGAAACCGGAGCUAAUACCGUAUAAUAUAUUGAACCGCAUGGUUCAAUAGUGAAAGACGGUUUUGCUGGCACUUAUAGAUGGAUCCGCGCCGCAUUAGCUAGUUGGUAAGGUAACGGCUUACCAAGGCGACGAUGCGUAGCCGACCUGAGAGGGUGAUCGGCCACAUGGGAACGGAGACACGGUCCAGACUCCUACGGGAGGGAGCAGUAGGGAAUCUUCCGCAAUGGGCGAAAGCCUGACGGAGCAACGCCGCGUGAGUGAUGAAGGUCUUCGGAUCGUAAAACUCUGUUAUUAGGGAAGAACAAAUGUGUAAGUAACUAUGCACGUCUUGACGGUACCUAAUCAGAAAGCCACGGCUAACUACGUG
rnacentral:rRNA from 1 species